UGUAAACUUCUGUUACAUUUAUGUAACUACUUUAAUUGCAGAGAAAGAUACUAAUUUUGCAAUUAAGAACUAUCUGGUCUUCAAUUUGGGCAAGUUGAAAAUCAAGUCUAUAUUGUCUAUAUCCUUCUUAGACUGUGGUUUCUAAAACUGCAAACUUAAUCUAUUACUCUGUACCAACACAAAUCAGAGCUAUUAAUUCCAUUAUUAGCUAAAUUUUGUAAUGUUCGGAAAAUAUACUAGAUUCAAUCUAUGAUCUCAAUCUGUAGAGAUCUUUUAGUACCCUAAUAUUUGUCUAUUCCUACAGGUACUGCAAAGAACAUUA